GAUCACAUUAGCGAGAUGGGUGCGUCGUGACAGCUGCGGAAACAAAAUGUAAUUGCACGGUGCCAAGGCCGGCGAAUAUGACAUCCAAAAGGCCGUGACGAGCAAAGGUAUACCACGAAAGGACACGGGAAAACCAUUUGACGCAUUAGUUA